AUUGAACGCUGGCGGCAGGCCUAACACAUGCAAGUCGAACGGUAACAGGAAACAGCUUGCUGUUUCGCUGACGAGUGGCGGACGGGUGAGUAAUGUCUGGGAAACUGCCUGAUGGAGGGGGAUCACUACUGGAAACGGUAGCUAAUACCGCAUAACGUCGCAAGACCAAAGAGGGGGACCUUCGGGCCUCUUGCCAUCGGAUGUGCCCAGAUGGGAUUAGCUAGUAGGUGGGGUAACGGCUCACCUAGGCGACGAUCCCUAGCUGGUCUGAGAGGAUGACCAGCCACACUGGAACUGAGACACGGUCCAGACUCCUACGGGAGGCAGCAGUGGGGAAUAUUGCACAAUGGGCGCAAGCCUGAUGCAGCCAUGCCGCGUGUAUGAAGAAGGCCUUCGGGUUGUAAAGUACUUUCAGCGGGGAGGAAGGGAGUAAAGUUAAUACCUUUGCUCAUUGACGUUACCCGCAGAAGAAGCACCGGCUAACUCCGUG
rnacentral:rRNA from 1 species